UUUAAAUGGCCGCAGUAUAUUAACUGUGCAAAGGUAGCAUAAUCAUUAGUCUUUUAAUUGAAGGCUGGUAUGAAUGGUUGGACGAAAUAUUAACUGUUUCAUAAAAAUUUAUAUUAGAAUUUUAUUUUUUAGUUAAAAAGCUAAAAUUUAUUUAAAAGACGAGAAGACCCUAUAAAUCUUUAUAUUUAAAUUAAUAUAAUUUUGUAGAUAUUUUUUAUUAAAUUAAUUAAUAAUAUUUUAUUGGGGUGAUAUUAAAAUUUAAUAAACUUUUAAUUUUUUUUUAUCAUUAAUUUAUGAAUAAUUGAUCCGUUAUUAACGAUUAAAAAAAUAAGUUACUUUAGGGAUAACAGCGUAAUUUUUUUGGAGAGUUCAUAUCGAUAAAAAAGAUUGCGACCUCGAUGUUGGAUUAAGAUAUAAUUUUAGGUGUAGCCGCUUAAAUUUUAAGUCUGUUCGACUUUUAA
rnacentral:rRNA from 1 species